UGGGGGAUAUUGCACAAUGGGCGAAAGCCUGAUGCAGCAACGCCGCGUGAGGGAAGACGGUUUUCGGAUUGUAAACAUCUGUCUUUGGUGAAGAAAGAAAUGACGGUAGCCGAGGAGGAAGCCACGGCUAACUACGUGCCAGCAGCCGCGGUAAUAAGUAGGUGGCAAGCGUUGUACGGAAUUACUGGGUGUAAAGGGAGCGCAGGCGGGAGAGCAAGUCAGCUGUGAAAACUAUGGGCUUAACCCAUAAACUGCAGGUUAAAGUGGUUGUCUUUGGUGUAGUAGAGGUAG
rnacentral:rRNA from 1 species